UACGGAGGAUCCAAGCGUUAUCCGGAAUCAUUGGGUUUAAAGGGUCCGUAGGCGGUUUAGUAAGUCAGUGGUGAAAGCCCAUCGCUCAACGGUGGAACAGCCAUUGAUACUGCUAGACUUGAAUUAUUAGGAAGUAACUAGAAUAUGUAGUGUAGCGGUGAAAUGCUUAGAGAUUACAUGGAAUACCAAUUGCGAAGGCAGGUUACUACUAAUGGAUUGACGCUGAUGGACGAAAGCGUGGGUAGCGAACAGG
rnacentral:rRNA from 1 species